rnacentral:SRP_RNA from 1 species
ACCAGGCACAGUAGCUUGCGCCUGAAGUCCCAGUUACUCAGAGGCUGAGUCCAGAGGACUUGACCCCAAGAAUUCUGGGCUGUAGUGCUCUAUGCUGACAGGGUAUCUGCACUAAGUUCAAAAUUAAUAUGGUGACCUCCUGGAAGCAGGGGAACUCCAGGUUACCUAAGGAGGGGUAAACUGGCUCAGGUUGGAAAUGCAGCAGGUCAAAACUCCCAUACUGAUCAGUAGUAGGAUUGUGUCCAUAAAUAGCCAUUGUACUCCAUCCUGGACAAUAAAGUCAGACUCC